rnacentral:rRNA from 1 species
UACGUAGGUGGCAAGCGUUGUCCGGAAUUAUUGGGCGUAAAGCGCGCGUAGGCGGCUCUUCAAGUCGGGGGUGAAAGCCUGCAGCUCAACUGCGGAACUGCCUUCGAUACUGUCGAGCUUGAGUGCAGGAGGGGUGAUCGGAACUCCAGGUGUAGCGGUGAAAUGCGUAGAUAUCUGGAGGAACACCGGAGGCGAAGGCGGAUCACUGGACUGCCACUGACGCUGAGGCGCGAAAGCUAGGGGAGCAAACAGG